rnacentral:rRNA from 1 species
AAUGAACGUUGGCGGCGUGGAUUGGGCAUGCAAGUCGAGCGAGAACCCAGCAAUGGGGGACAGCGGCGAAAGGGACAGUAAUGUGUAGAUCAUCUGCCCUCAGGUCCGGGAUAGCUGCGGGAAACUGCAGGUAAUACCGGAUAACAUCUCCGGAUCAAAGGUGUGAUUCCGCCUGAGGAUGAGUCUACAUCCUAUUAGCUAGUUGGUGGGGUAAUGGCCUACCAAGGCGAUGAUGGGUAGCGGGUGUGAGAGCACGACCCGCGUCAUUGGGACUGAGACACUGCCCAGACACCUACGGGUGGCUGCAGUCGAGAAUCUUCGGCAAUGGGCGCAAGCCUGACCGAGCGACGCCGCGUGCGGGAUGAAGGCCUUCGGGUUGUAAACCGCUGUCAGAGGGGAUGAAAUGCAGGUGGGUUCUCCCAUCUGUUUGACAUAGCCUCAGAGGAAGGACGGGCUAAGUUCGUGCCAGCCGCCGCUGUAAGAC